rnacentral:rRNA from 1 species
GUGAACGCUGGCGGUAGGCCUAACACAUGCAAGUCGAACGGCAGCACAGUAAGAGCUUGCUCUUACGGGUGGCGAGUGGCGGACGGGUGAGGAAUACAUCGGAAUCUACUUUUUCGUGGGGGAUAACGUAGGGAAACUUACGCUAAUACCGCAUACGACCUACGGGUGAAAGCAGGGGAUCUUCGGACCUUGCGCGAUUGAAUGAGCCGAUGUCGGAUUAGCUAGUUGGCGGGGUAAAGGCCCACCAAGGCGACGAUCCGUAGCUGGUCUGAGAGGAUGAACAGCCACACUGGAACUGAGACACGGUCCAGACUCCUACGGGAGGCAGCAGUGGGGAAUAUUGGACAAUGGGCGCAAGCCUGAUCCAGCCAUACCGCGUGGGUGAAGAAGGCCUUCGGGUUGUAAAGCCCUUUUGUUGGGAAAGAAAAGCAGCAGGUUAAUACCCCGCUGUUCUGACGGUACCCAAAGAAUAAGCACCGGCUAACUUCGUG